AGCUGGCCGUGCUGGAUGUACGGCGCGACGAAUUGUAAGCCGACCAGAGGAUCGCCGUACCUGGGGGGAGUGUUGAGUACACCCUGAUGUACCUGCGCGCCUCUCUAUCCAAUCUAGCCUCUUUAAUUAUUACAUACACCAAUCUACGCUGGUAGCGUAUGAUACCUUCUUACCUAAAGAGGGAUAUAGAACGUCAUCAUUCAACGGUAUUGGGGACAAAGAAAACGUUGUUACCGUGAAAACCACAACAUCAUUCUAGUGCUACAUUAAUUUCCCUAAUUUCAUUACUUAUCACCUAUUAUGUACAUUUAAACCAAUUUGAAAUUGUGCUAUUUAACUAUAAUUCACUUAAGUGUCGCCUUAAGCCUACAAAGUGCAUUACCAUAACCCUAAAUCUAUUCACAUUGAGAACCUACAUGCAAAGGCUAGAAGAUCGAAGCUCAAAGCUCGCAUGAUCACUGAAACAUUAUCCAAUAGCGCACAACGGGACUAAACGAAUUUAAUAAUAGCCACAUUUAAACGUAAAUCCUACGUGUCCGGUCGUUUGUGGUAUUAUUAUCUUGGAAAUAAACCCUGUGCAGUUUUACGUUGGGCAAAUU
rnacentral:lncRNA from 1 species